AACAGCAUUCUCACAGAGGUGUUUCUUUUGUCCAGGUGGGGAAGGGCAGUGUGGAGUGCGAUUGAGAUUGCUUCAUCUGUGGAUCUGUUGGGGCGGUAUGCAAAUUGGAGUGGGUCUAGGGUAUCCGGGAGGAUGCUGUUGAUGUGAGCCAUGACCAGCCUUUCAAAGCACUUCAUGGCUACUGAUGGACUAAAGUGGGCAACUGAUCGCAUUUCACACGUUGGGUUGGCGGCCCGACUCAUUUGGAGGUUGAAGGAUAUCCCACCCUGACGCCCUGCAGAUGUAGCCCUUUUCUGCAGUCAAAUCGCCCUUUAGUAAACUCAUG
rnacentral:lncRNA from 1 species